rnacentral:tRNA from 1 species
GCCCUCGUAGUUUAAUGGAUAAAACGAGGACCUCCUAAGUCUUAGCUACAGGUUCAAUUCCUGUCGAGGGCGCCA